rnacentral:lncRNA from 1 species
UUGCUAUGUGGGAUUGAACCCAAUGCCCUACAUCAUUGGCGAUUCCCUGAGUUUUCUUUCAGUUCUUAGCCAAUUCAAAGUCCAUUCCUAGUGACCAUGUGACUGUGGUCCCUGCUUCUUUCUCCACUUUUACAUCCUUAUGGAAACUUGUGUCAUGCUCAAACCAAAACUAAGCCAUGGAAUUUGCCCAUUACACAGGAUGGCUGUGUGGCUAGUGAAAGGGUCGAGUCAAUAAAAGGAACUCAGCAUGCUCACUAAACAAGGCCAGUGCACAUCUUUUCCAAAUCCACCACUAUUUUAUUCUUUUCAAAUAUCUUAGUUCUCCUUCAGAGUCAUGACAGCGGAGGCAACAGCAAGAAGUCCUUGAUGAGGUUUUAAAUAGCCCAAACCAAAAUCUACGUAAACAUGUGCAUAUAAAUCUUAAACACAAAUCUGAUUGCAAGAGUUUUAAACAGCCAGA